CCAGACUCCUACGGGAGGCAGCAGUGGGGAAUAUUGGACAAUGGGGGGAACCCUGAUCCAGCGACGCCGCGUGAGUGAAGAAGUAUUUCGGUAUGUAAAGCUCUAUCAGCAGGGAAGAAAGAAAUGACGGUACCUGACUAAGAAGCCCCGGCUAACUACGUGCCAGCAGCCGCGGUAAUACGUAGGGGGCAAGCGUUAUCCGGAUUUACUGGGUGUAAAGCGCUCGUAGGCGGUAUGUCAAGUCAAGGGUGAAAUCCCCGCGCUCAACAUGGGAACUGCCUUUGAAACUGGCAAACUGGAGUGUGUGAGAGGAUAGUGGAAUUCCAGGUGUAGGAGUGAAAUCCGUAGAUAUCUGGAGGAACAUCAGUGGCGAAGGCGACUAUCUGGCACAUAACUGACGCUGAGGAGCGAAAGCGUGGGUAGCAAACAGGAUUAGAUACCCGAGUA
rnacentral:rRNA from 1 species